AAGCGAAAGUAAAAUUUCGUGGAGGUCCGAACCCACGAGCGUUGAAAAGCUCGGGGAUGACUUGUGGGUAGCGGUGAAAUUCCAAUCGAGCCCGGAGAUAGCUGGUUCUCCCCGAAAUAGCUUUAGGGCUAGCCUCAAGGUGAGAGAUACGGAGGUAGAGCACUGAAUGUCCUAGGGGGUAUUGCACCUACCGAAGACUAUCAAACUCCGAAUGCCGUCAUCUUAUACUUGGGAGUCAGACUGUGGGUGAUAAGAUUCAUAGUCGAAAGGGCAACAGCCCAGAUCGUCAGCUAAGGUCCCUAAAUGUAAGUUAAGUGGUAAAGGAUGUGGGAUUGCACAGACAACCAGGAUGUUGGCUUAGAAGCAGCCACUCAUUCAAAGAGUGCGUAAUAGCUCACUGGUCGAGUGAUCCUGCGCCGAAGAUUUCCGGGGCUAAAACUUACUACCGAAGCUACGGCAUCAGUAAUGAUGGGUAGGGGAGCUUCCCAUACGGGUUGAAGCAUGACCGUAAGGACAUGUGGACAGUAUGGGAGUGAGAAUGUUGGCAUGAGUAGCGAGAUGUGGGUGAGAAUCCCACAGGCCGGAAACCCAAGGUUUCCAGGGGAAGGUUCGUCCGCCCUGGGUUAGUCGGGACCUAAGCUGAGGCCGAAAGGCGUAGGUGAUGGACAACAGGUUGAUAUUCCUGUACUACCGAUAACCGUUUGAGAGAUGGGAUGACACAGUAGGAUAAGCUAAGCACACUGUUGGUUAUGUGUGCCCAAGCAUUGAGGCAGUCAAAGUAGGCAAAUCCGCUUUGAUAAUGCUGGGAUGUGAUGGGGAGCGAAAUUUAGUAGCGAAGUAGCUGAUUUCACACUGUCAAGAAAAGUCUCUAUCGAGGUUAAAGGUACCCGUACCGCAAACCGACACAGGUGGGUGAGGAGAGUAUCCUAAGGCCAGCGAGAGAACUGUUGUUAAGGAACUCGGCAAAAUGACCCCGUAACUUAGGGAUAAGGGGUGCCACCAUCAGGUGGCCGCAGAGAAUAGGCCCAAGCGACUGUUUACCAAAAACAUAGGUUUCUGCUAAGUCGCAAGACGAUGUAUAGGAGCUGACGCCUGCCCGGUGCUGGAAGGUUAAGGGGAUCUGUUAGAGCAAUCGAAGCAGUGAACUUAAGCCCCAGUAAACGGCGGCCGUAACUAUAACGGUCCUAAGGUAGCGAAAUUCCUUGUCGGGUAAGUUCCGACCCGC
rnacentral:rRNA from 1 species